rnacentral:rRNA from 1 species
AGAGUUUGAUCAUGGCUCAGGACGAACGCUGGCGGCGUGCUUAACACAUGCAAGUCGAGCGAGGCCCACCUUUCGGGGUGGUGUUCUAGCGGCGAACGGGUGAGUAACACGUGGGCAACCUGCCCUCAGCUCUGGGAUAACUCCAAGAAAUUGGGGCUAAUACCGGAUAUGACUGCUGACCGCAUGGUCUGGUGGUGGAAAGAUUUAUCGGCUGGGGAUGGGCCCGCGGCCUAUCAGCUUGUUGGUGGGGUAGUGGCCUACCAAGGCGACGACGGGUAGCCGGCCUGAGAGGGUGACCGGCCACACUGGGACUGAGACACGGCCCAGACUCCUACGGGAGGCAGCAGUGGGGAAUAUUGCGCAAUGGGCGAAAGCCUGACGCAGCGACGCCGCGUGGGGGAUGACGGCCUUCGGGUUGUAAACCUCUUUCAGCAGGGACGAAGCGAAAGUGACGGUACCUGCAGAAGAAGCACCGGCCAACUACGUGCCAGCAGCCGCGGUAAUACGUAGGGUGCAAGCGUUGUCCGGAAUUAUUGGGCGUAAAGAGCUCGUAGGCGGUUUGUUGCGUCGGCUGUGAAAUCCCGAGGCUCAACCUCGGGUCUGCAGUCGAUACGAGCAAACUAGAGUGUUGCAGGGGAGACUGGAAUUCCUGGUGUAGCGGUGAAAUGCGCAGAUAUCAGGAGGAACACCGGUGGCGAAGGCGGGUCUCUGGGCAACAACUGACGCUGAGGAGCGAAAGCGUGGGGAGCGAACAGGAUUAGAUACCCUAGUAGUCC